UUUUCUCUCUUCUCUUGUUUUGAUCUGAAGCCACCGGUUUUCUCUUGCGCCUCAUCGCACCACCGUUUCAAAACCUAAAGGAUCGUUGUAGCUUUCGCAUAACAUCGAAAUUUGGUUCUCGUUCUCUCACCACAAUCAUUUCUAUGUGAAUCACUUUUUCUCAUAAGCGCUUAAUCUCACUCGCUCUCGUUCUCUGAUUCGCAAUACAUCAAUUCGAGCUUCCAUAAUCGUUGGUUCCUGUUUCAACGGUGUCUCGCAAGGCAAUCUCCAUGAUAGCAAGUGAAGAAAUAUUGUCGAUGAAGUGCAGAAAUUGAGAUAAUAUUGAAGAUUGCAAGUGAGAGAAUCUCAAGAUUUUUUUGACAAUUCAAAGUUAAUCUCACGAUCAUUGAUAGAGAGGAAGUUCCUAUGAUUUUUACACACAGAGGAAGUUAAUUGUCAAAGUUAAUCAAAUAGUGGCUUAUGAAAUUGAGUCAGUUCUUGCGAAAUAUUAGUAUAUAUAUGGUGUUGCUGUGGAUUCUGGAGUGCACAAUGCUACAAAUUCACUUCAUAGGAUUGAUAGGCCAACAACUAAUGCGAAACUGUACAAUUCCGCCAAAAUUUAUGACAUCGUAAGAUCUGUUACCUGCUUGAUUUGAUUGGAUUUGGUUUGCUUGCAAUUUUUUUAUUUAGACUUCAGUGUAGCUCCUAAAUUUUUCCUCCAAAAAUUGUGGUGUCGUCACAUUAGUCUUCUAAAGAGUUUUCUUCAAAUAAGUCUCUCAAUGAUCUAAGCCUUCACACAUACAUCGUUAUGGAAGGACAAAGUGGUGACAUAAAAUGAUGGAUUUUGUAAAUGUUAUGUAUAUUUGAAUUUGAGGGACUGGUUUGGGGACAUGAUAAUCAUUGGAGAACUCACUUUUACGUACAAUGUGUAAUCUUUGCAGAAGUCAUAGGGUGUUGUUUUUGGCUUUAUUGUACACCUAUCCAUAAUAAUCCUUGGAUUUCUGACAACUACACAAUGAUCAUAUCAUCCAUAUGACACAACUGUGAAGUUCUACUUUCUGUGAAUGUGUUGAGUGGGGAAGUAUUACGUAUCAUCCCAGCAGAGUCAAGUUUCUCGUGGAAUCUUCUUACACGAAAUGGGAAUAAUAUUCUUGCCAGGAAGAACAAAUUCUCAAUUUAUCUCUACUUUGGUCUUCUAAAUUGGUGAAGUAAGUUUUAUCUCGAUUGCUUGUCGAUUGUUUUGCAGUUUCCAACAAUCCGGUCAAUGUUCCUCAAAUUAUGUACGGAAUGGUCAUUGAGAAGGCAAAGAGAAAUACUACAUGGAAUUGGUCGAAGAUAUCCAGUCCCAUAUUCAAAUGCUCUAACAAGGUUACAACUUUGUUGUCCUCUCUCCAGUGCAGUAUACUGAAGAUCUCAGUCACAGAUGCUUCCAACGAUCCAAAAAAGGUGCUGAUAAACCUUUUGAAGCUAUAUUUGUAUCAUCCAAAACCAUGAACAAGGAUUUAUGUGAUCCAUUAAUUGUGAUCCUUCAUGGAGGGCCACAAGACGUCUCUUUGUCACUCUUCUCCAAGUCUUGGGCGUUUCUAUCUUCGGUUGGAUAUAGCUUGUUGAUUGUAAAUUACAGGUUAUUCAUGCUUCUAAUACAGUUAGAGAUUGUUGAUUUAACUCUUAUAUAAUUGUUUUAAGACUACCAUUUUUAUGGAAAAAUAAGCCUAGUUGGCUUAACUAGCUUAAAUACAGUUAGCGGCUUGUUCAGAUUGUUCAGAACCUGUAUGUUACAACAUCAGAAUCACUAGCUUAGAAAAAUAAAAGGGUGCGGAAGUAUGGAAGAUUAAAUGUCUAUUUAUUGUUUUCUACAUCUGAGUAAACUUCGUUAAUACUAUCUAAGCGAACAUAUGCUUAAUAAGCUAGUUGCAAACUAUAUUGGAUUUUCUAGUUGCAAACUAUUAUUGUUCCCUUUUUGUACACAAGAAGUUUGGCAGGUACAAUCACUUAACAUGGGAAUGAAAACAAGGUAUUUUAAGCUACUUUCAUCCAAUGUUCUUCCUUCCUCUUUACAAAUUUCUCACACUAAAGCAUCUUGAUACCCUUUUGGUUGAUCACAUUAUUAUAACCACUUUUUGUAUCACAUUAUUAUAACCACACUAAAGCAUCUUAAUAUAUACAUGUUUUCUGCCUUUUCAUUAUUAUCAUUUUUAAUCUCCAAAAUCUCAUUUCUUCCCAUUUUUUAUAGGCAGUUUACAAGCAUUAUCACUCAGAUGGAAAAUUGAGCCUACAACAUUUUAUUAUUUUCUUUGGAGUCUUUGAACUAUUGCUCUCUCAACUUCCUGAUAUUCACUCACUCAGAUGGGUUAAUGCAUUAUGCACUUUUAGUACCAUUGGAUUUUCCGGUACAACCAUUGGUGUUACAAUUUACAAUGCAUCUUUUAGGUAAGAAGAUUGAUAGAACAUCAGUUAACUACAAUUUGCAGGGUAGUUAUGCGUCGAAGUCCUUCAAAGCCUUCAAUGCUCUUGGAACCAUUUCCUUUUCAUUUGGUGAUGCAAUACUUCCAGAAAUACAGUAGCCAGACUCAAUUUCGAAAAGAGGGACAAGCCAACACAAUCUGCAGUGUCCGCUCUCCAAAAUUCCCAUAGAUGUGAGCAACUUGCUAGUAGUUCUUCAAGAUCCCAUCAUGACUCAUCUGGGAACUUUACUUGUUCUAGCAACAUUUCAAGUAUGGUUGUGGAUCGUUACAUCGAUGGGGAGCAGCAACUAGAGGAAACUAGACCCAGGAGCAGUUCACAGAGAAAAAGCAGUGGACCUGGAAAUAAUUGCAAAAGUUAUUUGUAAUUUAGAUGUAAUUACAAAUACUAUAAUAAAUUAUGAAAUUGAUUUAUUAUUGUAUCCUCAA